rnacentral:rRNA from 1 species
UACAGGGGAUGCAAGUGUUAUCCGGAAUUAUUGGGCGUAAAGCGUCUGCAGGUGGAUAGUUAAGUCUUAUGUUAAAUUUCUAGGCUCAACCUGGAGUCGGCAAAAGAAACUGAUUAUCUCGAGUAUGGUAGAGGUAAAGGGAAUUUCAAGUGGAGCGGUGAAAUGCGUAGAUAUUUGAAAGAACUCCAAUAGCGAAGGCACUUUACUGGGCCAUUACUGACACUCAGAGACGAAAGCUAGGGGAGCAAACAGGAUUAGAUACCCUGGUAGUCCUAGCUGUAAACGAUGGAUACUAGAUGUUGCAUAUGUAUACAGUGUCGUAGCUAACGCGUUAAGUAUCCCGCCUGGGAAGUACGCUCGCAAGGGUG